rnacentral:sRNA from 1 species
GGUUGUAGGAUGCCUUUGUGUAUGCAAUGGCUCUAGGUGACUCUGGCAGCCACAUUCUGGGCCCUAAACUGCUGGAGGAAGAUACAGGAUACGGAGGAACUCAGGGGUGAGUCAUAGUAGGGACAAGACAUUCCCUCACUCUAAGACCUUGUCACUAGAUUGGAACAUCUCUUGCCUCCCUACACCAGACAUGAUGGUUCUGGAGAGAUACGUCCUUGCAGCUUCUGAGUCCCAGCACUAACCAGCCUUCGGGAAGAAAAGUCAGAAGACCAGGACCUCCAGGGCCUCAAGGACAAACCCCUCAAGUUUAAAAAGGUGAAGAAAGAUAAGAAAGAAGAGAAAGAGGGCAA